rnacentral:rRNA from 1 species
GACGAACGCUGGCGGCGUGCUUAACACAUGCAAGUCGAACGAGGUCCAACCAGUGGCAACACUGGGGAAGACCUAGUGGCGAACGGGUGAGUAACACGUGAGAAACCUACCCCGAAGACUGGGAUAAGCCCCCGAAAGGGGGUCUAAUACCGGAUACCCUCUUCAUGUCACAUGGCGAGAAGAGGAAAGGUCAGCCGCUUCGGGACGGUCUCGCGGCCUAUCAUGCUUGUUGGUGAGGUAACGGCUCACCAAGGCUACGACGGGUAGCUGGUCUGAGAGGACGAUCAGCCACACUGGGACUGAGACACGGCCCAGACUCCUACGGGAGGCAGCAGUGGGGAAUCUUGCGCAAUGGGCGAAAGCCUGACGCAGCAACGCCGCGUGCGGGAUGAAGGCCUUCGGGUUGUAAACCGCUUUCAGUAGGGACGAAAACAGACGGUACCUACAGAAGAAGCACCGGCCAACUACGUGCCAGCAGCCGCGGUAACACGUAGGGUGCAAGCGUUGUCCGGAAUCAUUGGGCGUAAAGAGCUCGUAGGCGGCUUAGUAAGUCGGGUGUGAAAACCCCAGGCUCAACCUGGGGACGCCACCCGAUACUGCUAUAGCUAGAGUCCAGUAGGGGAGUGUGGAAUUCCCAGUGUAGCGGUGAAAUGCGCAGAUAUUGGGAGGAACACCAGCGGCGAAGGCGGCACUCUGGGCUGGUACUGACGCUGAGGAGCGAAAGCGUGGGUAGCGAACAGGAUUAGAUACCCUGGUAGUCCACGCCGUAAACGUUGGGCACUAGGUGUGGGGCCUAUUCAACGGGUUCCGUGCCGUAGCUAACGCAUUAAGUGCCCCGCCUGGGGAGUACGGCCGCAAGGCUAAAACUC